rnacentral:rRNA from 1 species
AGCGAACGCUGGCGGCGUGCUUAACACAUGCAAGUCGAGCGAGAAAGGGGGCUUCGGCCCCUGAGUACAGCGGCGAACGGGUGCGUAAUGCAUGAGCAAUCUACCCUUGAGGCGGGAAUAACCCAGCGAAAGUUGGGCUAAUACCGGAUAAGACCACAAGAGGAGACCCCUAGAGGCUAAAGGCAGCUCUCUUUUGGGGGCGGCCCUUUGAGGAGGAGCUCAUGUCCUANCAGCUAGUUGGUAGGGUAACGGCCUACCAAGGCGAAGACGGGUAGCUGGUCUUAGAGGAUGAUCAGCCACACGGGGACUGAGACACGGCCCCGACUCCUACGGGAGGCAGCAGUGGGGAAUAUUGGGCAAUGGGGGAAACCCUGACCCAGCGACGCCGCGUGGGUGAUGAAGG